AGUGAACGCUGGCGGCGUGCCUAAUACAUGCAAGUCGAACGGAGUGGCGCACGGGUGAGUAAUGUGUAGCUAAUCUGCCCUACACUAGAGGACAACAGUUGGAAACGACUGCUAAUACUCUAUAGUGUAGGAUGAGGCUAUAUUGUAUCAGCUAGUUUGUGAGGUAAUGGCUCACCAAGGCUAUGACGCGUAACUGGUCUGAGAGGAUGAUCAGUCACACUGGAACGGAGACACGGUGCGGAAUCCUACGGGAGGGAGCCGAAGGGAAUAGUGCUCAAUGGGGGAAACCCUGAAGCAGCAACGCCGCGUAAAGGAUGACACUUUUCGGAGCGUAAGCUCCUUUUGUUAGGGAAGCGGUACCUAACGAAUAAGCACCGGCUAACUCCGUGCCAGCAGCCGCGGUAAUUC
rnacentral:rRNA from 1 species